GACGAACGCUGGCGGCGUGCCUAAUACAUGCAAGUCGAACGCAGUGGGGACUGGUGAGUAACACGUGGGUAACCUCCCAUCAGAGGGGAUAACACUUGGAAACAGGUGCUAAACCGAUACUGAUGGAUGGACCCUCGGUGCAUUAGCUAGUUGGUGAGGUAACGGCUCACAAGGGCCACGAUGCAUACCCGACCUGAGGGGAUGAUAGGCAAAGCGGGGACAGAGACAAGGCCCAGACUCCUACGUGAGGCAGUAGUAGGGAAUCUUCGGCAAUGGACGAAAGUCUGACAGAGCAACGCCGCGUGAGUGAGAAAGGUUGUCGGAUCGUAAAGCUCUGUUGUUAGAGAAGCGGGAUCUAACCAGAAAGCCACGGCUAACUCCGUGCCAGCAGCCGCGGUAAUAC
rnacentral:rRNA from 1 species